CCGACAGGCAGAGGAACCUCAGAAAUCGCCCGGUAGCUCCCCGCAGCCUCCGGCGGAGCUUAAAAGGCGUCGGGGGGGGGCCGUGCCCUGGGCUCCCGACGAGCCGCAGCUGCGCCCGGGCGGCCGCGGCCCCGGCACCUGGGAGUCGCAGCCGGGCCUCGUUACGGCCCUGACAGGUAGACACGUGGACUCUAAAUGUGAAUUCAGGGCUUACGUUACACUUUAAGCUGGAGUUUGUAACGUGCUUAUCCUCCUCACCUCGCUGUGGGAUUCGUCAGUUAAGUUAAACAUUUGUGCCUAAUUCAAAGGGGUCACUUCGCGUCUGACACAAAUGGAGCGAUAGAAACAUAUAGAGAAUCACCCCUCCCAACGUCCCCGGCCUUUAAGGUUUCCAGAGGCCCCCGCUGCGUGCUUGUAGAACCAAAACAUAGCAUCGUACCAGGCGCUCUGAAGAAAACAAUUCCAUCCCAGCUGAAACUGAGACGUUGAUCAGAGGAGAAAAGAACCCUCUGUAUUUUGAACUUGAAGUACCUGGAAGUUGGCUUCCAAGCCUUCUAAACUAAGAAGUCCUUUUCUUUCAGAGUCAGCCUGUGAUUUGUGGUAGAUGCAUUCUCCGUUUCCAAGUCAGGCGAUGCGUUAACUUUCUUUUUGAUUUCUCUCAUUUCUGAAGUAGCCUGCAGGAUCAGGGCACAGUCUCUUGAGAUGUGGUGGGGAGGGUCUGGUUUCAGUUCUUUCUAUGGGUAUGUAUCCAGUAGCUCUGUGGAUUGGAAUCCGCCUCUCUGUUCCUGGAGAGUUUGAUUGCCUUUCUCGGCUCCUCUGUUUAGUGACCUGAAGCCUGCAUGAGGUCUAGCACAAGCUUGAUGGUCCGCUAGUAAGAGACACUCUGCUUAUUGUCAAGAACGAUCUCGUGAGAUAUGUGAUUAUAAGCAAAUAGAUGGGAUUUCCUGUCUGGUGUGCAAACAAGCUGCUGUCUCUUUUGAGCUGUCUUGCCUGGUAUCCCACGUUGCUUUCUGGAGUUGAAAUGGAAGUCUUCCAUAACUGGAUCUUUGAUAGGAAGAGUUGAGGUACUUAGUGGGAUGAUUGGUUUGAGCUUGUCACGCCAUGGCAGUUUGUUGGCCUGCCCUCCGCAACAGUGCGGCAAGAAGUAGCAAGACACGUGAGCUUCUUUGAGUACUGCUGAAGUGGAAGUUCUCUGGCUUCUGAUGUUUGCACAGUAAAUUCCGUGUCAACACGAACAGACAGCAGAUCUCAGAGGAGUUACAGCCACCUUCCCAGAAGAGAAGUUUUGCAGAAACUUUUUGCAGAAAGUUUUCCCAGAAGAGAAAAUUGCAGUUUCCAAUGAAAUGCUGUGUGAGAACUGCUGAAAAAGCAGGGCCAACAAGAAAAAGACCAUCAUCUCUUCUUGAAUGUGACUUAUCCUCACGUCGAAGCUAGAGAAGCCUUUUCAUCAUAUAACAGCAAAAGGAGGAAGAGUGGGUUAAACACAUGAGCUGCUACCUGCACUGCGUAUUCUACGAGAGAAAACUUCUAUGACGUACCAGAAAGAAUGAAUUUAUCCUUUCCAAAGUGCUACACAAAAUUUCCAG